rnacentral:rRNA from 1 species
AUUGAACGCUGGCGGCAUGCCUUACACAUGCAAGUCGAACGGCAGCACGGAGCUUGCUCUGGUGGCGAGUGGCGAACGGGUGAGUAAUAUAUCGGAACGUACCCAAGAGUGGGGGAUAACGUAGCGAAAGUUACGCUAAUACCGCAUACGAUCUAAGGAUGAAAGUGGGGGAUCGCAAGACCUCAUGCUCCUGGAGCGGCCGAUAUCUGAUUAGCUAGUUGGUGAGGUAAAGGCUCACCAAGGCAUCGAUCAGUAGCUGGUCUGAGAGGACGCCCAGACACACUGGAACUGAGACACGGUCCAGACUCCUACGGGAGGCAGCAGUGGGGAAUUUUGGACAAGGGGGGCAACCCUGAUCCAGCAAUGCCGCGUGAGUGAAGAAGGCCUUCGGAUUGUAAAGCUCUUUUGUCAGGGAAGAAACGGUGAAGGCUAAUAUCCUUUGCUAAUGACGGUACCUGAAGAAUAAGCACCGGCUAACUACGUGCCAGCCGCCGCAGUAAGAC